AAAAUCCGUCGACUUUAGAAAUCGUGAGGGUUCAAGUCCCUCUAUCCCCCCAAAAAGACCGAUUUGACUAUUUCUCCUACCCUCUCUUUUUUUUAGUGGUUCAAAAUCCGUUCUCUUUCUCAUUCAUUCUACCUUUUUACAAACGUAUCAGAGCAUAAUUUUUUUUUUAUCACAAUCCCAAUCCCAAGUGGUGUGGUAUAUAUGAUAUACGUACAAAUGAACAUCUUUGAACAAAGAAUCCCGAUUCACAAUUCAUAUCAUUGCUCAUACUGAAACUUAUAAAUUAUUCUAUUCAAGAAAUCGAAUUCCACGCUCAAGACUUUUAAUACUUUUUUAUCUUUUUUAAUUGACAUUUUUAUCUUUUUUAAUUGACAUAGACCCCAGUCAUCUAGUAAAAUGAGGAUGAUGCGCCGGUAAUGGUCGGGAUAGCUCAGCUGGUAGAGCAGAGGACUGAAAAUCCUCGUGUCA
rnacentral:tRNA from 1 species